rnacentral:rRNA from 1 species
GACGAACGCUGGCGGCGUGUCUCAGACAUGCAAGUCGAACGAUUAAAGCUCUCUUCGGAGAGUGUAUAGAGUGGCGCACGGGUGAGUAACACGUAAGUAAUCUACCUUUGAGUGGGGAAUAACAGUCGGAAACGACUGCUAAUACCGCAUAAUGCAGCGGCACCGCAAGGUGACAGUUGUUAAAGGAGCAAUUCGCUUAAAGAGGAGCUUGCGGCAGAUUAGCNGUUGGUAAGGUAACGGCUUACCAAGGCUACGAUCUGUAUCCGGUCUUAGAGGACGGUCGGACACACUGACACUGAAUAACGGGUCAGACUCCUACGGGAGGCAGCAGUCGGGAAUUUUGGGCAAUGGGCGAAAGCCU